CAGGGAUUCCGCUUUUGGUGACGUGGAGAAGAAUCUUCACCGGGCAAGAAUCCCUGUC
rnacentral:pre_miRNA from 1 species